rnacentral:rRNA from 1 species
GUCUUUUUGAAUUAUAAUUUAAAGUCUAAUCUGCCCACUGAUUAAUUAUUAAAGGGCUGCAGUAUUGUGACUGUACAAAGGUAGCAUAAUCAUUAGUUUUUUAAUUGAAAACUUGUAUGAAAGAUUUGAUGAAAUAUUAACUGUCUCUUAUUUUUUGUUAAAAUUUUAUUUUUUAGUAAAAAAGCUAAAAUAAUUUUAAAAGACGAGAAGACCCUAUAGAGUUUUAUAUUUAAUUUUAUUUUAAAUUUAUAUAAAAAUUAAUAUUAAAAUAAAAUUAAUUAUUAUAUUGGGGUGAUAGAAAAAUUAAAAUAACUUUUUUUAAAUAAUAACAUAAAUAAAUGAUUAAAUGAUCCAUUAAUAAUGAUUAUAAGAAAAAAUUACCUUAGG